rnacentral:sRNA from 1 species
UGCUCUGUAACCUUCGGGGGCUAAUCAGGCUCAGCGGGGAGGACGUGGACCAGCGAGGGUGAUUUGCUGCGUUGACGUGGUGCUCUGCUUGGCUGUGUGUCGGUGUGGCCCGCCCCCUGCAGAGGGUGUGCAGAG